rnacentral:lncRNA from 1 species
UUGAGUGGUAUCAUAGAGCCAGAAAGACUUGAAGAAAAGAAAGCAAAAGAAACUGAGGUAAUUGAGAUAGAAAGUGAAGAAGACGAGGACAUGUUAGAAACUGAAUCACAUGGGCUAAGAAGGUUAGGAAGACAGAGCAGAAGACCGAGAUAUCUAGAUGAUUACAUACUACUUUCAGAGGAAGAAGGUGAGCUGUUAUUAAUGUGUUUGAACGAUGAGCCAAGAAAUUUUGAGGAAGCAAAAGAGCAUAAAUAUUUUGAGGAAGCAAAAGAGCAUAAAGUGUGGGUACGAGCUGAACUCUUAAAACUCGAUUUCUAAUCAAUCAAACCUAUUUUUCUCUUCUCCUUGAAGAACAAUGGGGAGAAGAAGAUGGCGUGAGAAAAAGUUUCCAAAUCGAUGUUUUAAUUUUUUAAUUUAAAAAUUGAUUUUAUAAAUCACGAUUUCUUUUUUUAAAAUGAUUUAAUAAAUAUAAAGAAACUGAAUAUUUCCAAAUAUUAUCUUCCCAUAUUUUUGGAACUGAUUAUCCUUAUCCGUAGAAUCAGUAUUCUACUAUAUGUAGAACACAGUAAACAUGUUUGAAAUUGAUUUCUACUAGUUUUAGAUUCAUAGUAAUGUGUGGAUUCCAAUUUCUAGAGAUUUUAGAUUUAUAAUAAUGUGUAGAUUCUGGAUUUUACAGAUUUUAGAACGAUAGGUUAAGCGUGGAAUGUGUUUUCCAAAUAUUUUUAGAUUACUAUUAUUUACUUGAUCACGUAUUCUAAACAUAUUAGAUUCAAUGAAAAAAGUGGAUUACAUUUUCUACUGUGUAAAA